CUACGGGAGGCAGCAGUGGGGAAUUUUCCGCAAUGGGCAAAAGCCUGACGGAGCAAUACCGCGUGAGGGAAGACUGCCUAUGGGUUGUAAACCUCUUUUUUCAGGGAGGAAUAAAAUGACGUGUACCUGAAGAAUAAGCAUCGGCUAACUCCGUGCCAGCAGCCGCGGUAAGACGGAGGAUGCAAGUGUUAUCCGGAAUCACUGGGCGUAAAGCGUCUGUAGGUGGUUUAAUAAGUCAACUGUUGAAUCUUGAGGCUCAACUUCGAAAUCGCAGUCGAAACUAUUAGACUAGAGUAUAGUAGAGGUAAAGGGAAUUUCCAGUGGAGCGGUGAAAUGCGUAGAUAUUGGAAAGAACACCGAUGGCGAAGGCACUUUACUGGGCUAUUACUGACACUCAGAGACGAAAGCUAGGGUAGCAAAUGGGAUUAGAUACCCCAGUAGUCCUAGCCGUAAACAAUGGAUACUAGAUGUUGAACAGAUCGACCUGUGCAGUAUCAAAGCUAACGCGUUAAGUAUCCCGCCUGGGAAGUAUGCUCGCAAGAGUGAAACUCAAAG
rnacentral:rRNA from 1 species